rnacentral:rRNA from 1 species
UACCAGCACCCCGGGUGGUCGGGACGAUUAUUGGGCCUAAAGCAUCCGUAGCCGGUUCUACAAGUCUUCCGUUAAAUCCACCUGCUUAACAGAUGGGCUGCGGAGGAUACUAUAGAGCUAGGAGGCGGGAGAGGCAAGCGGUACUUAGUGGGUAGGGGUAAAAUCCGUUGAUCCAUUGAAGACCACCAGUGGCGAAGGCGGCUUGCCAGAACGCACUCGACGGUGAGGGAUGAAAGCUGGGGGAGCAAACCGG